ensembl:lncRNA
ACGCCCUGCCUGCUUGUUUCAGCUCUUAGACUGUAAACACUGCCCUCCUCACUGUGUGUUCAGUGCCACACCUCGUGCGUUUUCUUGGUAAUUUCAGUGCCUUGGGCUGAAGUGCUGUCUGUCUUCCUAAGCUCAGGAGGAAGAGUGCCUUGUGGAGAAAACACGUGUGUCAGGGGACACCGGUUUGAUCCCUGGUCUAGGAAGAUUCUACAUGCCACAGAGCAACUCAGCCUGUGCACCAUGACUCCUGCGCCCUGGCGUUGCAACUCCUGAAGCGCAUGUGCUUUGAGUCCGGGCUCGCAACAAGAGAAGCCACUGGAAUGAGAAGCCCACACACCACAGCUAGAGAGUAGCCCCCGCUCACAGCAACUAGAGAAAGCCUGCACAGCAACAAAGACCCAGGGCAGCCAAAAAUAAGUGCAGCCGAGAGUGUGGAUGGAAGAGUGUCUUGUGUGACCUUGCCAUGAUGAGGACGCACAGAGGGUUUCCCUGUUGACAUCUGGAUCCUCCAUGACGUUGCCUCCCCCCUGUACUGAUGCCUCUCCUGUGCCAUGAGGCCAGUGCCCGAGGUUUCCAUUUCCACUGGCCUCUGAGCUUGGGUCUGCAUCUAUGUCUCUCAGCUUGGGCGACACCUGGGCUCCUUUCUGACUAACCAGGCCCACUG